rnacentral:rRNA from 1 species
UAGGGAAUCUUCCGCAAUGGACGAAAGUCUGACGGAGCGACGCCGCGUGAGCGAAGAAGGUCUUCGGAUCGUAAAGCUCUGUUGUUAGGGAAGAAGAAGUGCCGUUCGAACAGGGCGACACGGUGACGGUACCUAACGAGAAAGCCCCGGCUAACUACGUGCCAGCAGCCGCGGUAAUACGUAGGGGGCGAGCGUUGUCCGGAAUUAUUGGGCGUAAAGCGCGCGCAGGCGGUCCCUUAAGUCUGAUGUGAAAGCCCACGGCUUAACCGUGGAGGGUCAUUGGAAACUGGGGGACUUGAGUGCAGAAGAGGAGAGCGGAAUUCCACGUGUAGCGGUGAAAUGCGUAGAGAUGUGGAGGAACACCAGUGGCGAAGGCGGCUCUCUGGUCUGUAACUGACGCUGAGGCGCGAAAGCGUGGGGAGCAAACAGG